AGGGCGGAGGCGGCGGGGACCCCGGGCGCUGGGAGUGAGGAAGCUGCGGCGCCGGCGGGAGAGGUGCUGAGGCGUGCCGAGGCUCCCCGUGCUGGCUGCGCCCGCGCCGCGCGACCCCCGCUGCCCGUUGCCAUGCCCUCCUACACCGUCACCGUGGCCACCGGCAGCCAGUGGUUCGCGGGCACCGACGACUACAUCUACCUGAGCCUCGUGGGCUCCGCGGGCUGCAGCGAGAAGCACCUGCUGGACAAGCCCUUCUACAACGACUUCGAGCGCGGCGCGGUGGAUUCUUACGACGUGACAGUGGAUGAAGAACUGGGCGACAUCCAGCUGAUCAAAAUCGAGAAGCGCAAGUACUGGUUCCAUGACGACUGGUACCUGAAGUACAUCACAGUGAAGACACCCUGUGGGGAUUACAUCGAGUUCCCCUGCUACCGCUGGCUAUCGGGCGAGGGCGAGAUUGUCCUGAGAGACGGGCAAGCGAAGUUGGCCUGUGAUGACCAAAUUCACAUUCUCAAGCAGCACAGACGCAAAGAACUGGAAACACGGCAAAAACAGUACCGAUGGAUGGAGUGGAACCCUGGCUUCCCACUGAGCAUCGAUGCCAAAUGCCACAAGGACUUACCGCGAGAUAUCCAGUUCGACAGCGAGAAAGGAGUGGACUUUGUUCUGAACUACUCCAAAGCGAUGGAGAACCUGUUCAUCAACCGCUUCAUGCACAUGUUCCAGUCGUCCUGGAACGACUUCGCCGACUUUGAGAAAAUCUUUGUCAGGAUCAGCAACACUAUUUCCGAGCGGGUCAUGAAUCACUGGCAGGAAGACCUCAUGUUUGGCUACCAGUUCCUGAACGGCUGCAACCCUGUGAUGAUCCAGCGCUGUCUGAAGCUGCCAGACAAUCUGCCGGUGACCACAGAGAUGGUGGAGUGCAGCCUGGAGCGGCAGCUCACCCUGGAGCAGGAGGUCGAGCAAGGGAACAUCUUCAUCGUGGACUUUAAACUGUUGGAUGGCAUCGAUGCCAACAAAACAGACCCCUGCACUCUGCAGUUCCUGGCCGCGCCCAUCUGCUUGCUGUACAAGAAUCUGGCCAACAAGAUUGUCCCCAUUGCCAUCCAGCUCAACCAGGUGCCGGGAGAAGAGAAUCCCAUUUUCCUCCCUUCGGAUGCAAAGUAUGACUGGCUGCUGGCCAAGAUCUGGGUGCGCUCCAGCGACUUCCACGUCCACCAGACCAUCACCCACCUUCUGCGCACACAUCUGGUGUCUGAGGUGUUUGGCAUCGCCAUGUACCGCCAGCUGCCUGCCGUGCACCCCAUCUUCAAGCUCCUGGUGGCACACGUGCGGUUCACCAUCGCCAUCAACACCAAGGCCCGGGAGCAGCUCAUCUGUGAGUACGGCCUCUUUGACAAGGCCAACGCCACCGGGGGCGGCGGGCAUGUGCAGAUGGUGCAGAAGGCCAUGCAGGACCUGACCUACACUUCCCUGUGCUUCCCUGAGGCCAUCAAGGCCCGGGGCAUGGACAACGCGGAAGACGUCCCCUACUACUUCUACCGGGACGACGGGCUUCUGGUGUGGGAGGCCAUCAAGACGUUCGUGGCCGAGGUGGUGGACAUCUACUACGAGGGUGACCAGGUGGUGGAGGACGACCAGGAGCUGCAGGACUUCGUGAAGGACGUUUAUAUGUACGGCAUGCGGGGCAAGAAGGCCUCAGGCUUCCCCAAGUCCAUCAAGACCAAGGAGAAGCUGUGUGAGUACCUGACCGUGGUGAUCUUUACGGCCUCAGCCCAGCAUGCGGCGGUGAACUUCGGCCAGUAUGACUGGUGCUCCUGGAUCCCCAACGCGCCCCCGACCAUGCGGGCCCCGCCCCCAACGGCCAAGGGUGUGGCCACCAUCGAGCAGAUUGUGGACACGCUGCCCGACCGCGGCCGCUCCUGCUGGCAUCUGGGCGCGGUGUGGGCACUGAGCCAGUUCCAGGACAAUGAGCUGUUCCUGGGCAUGUACCCAGAGGAACAUUUCAUCGAGAAGCCCGUAAAGGAGGCCAUGGCCCGGUUCCGUAAGAACCUCGACUCCAUCGUCAGCGUGAUCGCCGAGCGCAACAAGAACAAGAAGCUGCCUUAUUACUACUUGUCCCCAGACCGGAUUCCCAAUAGCGUGGCCAUCUGA
rnacentral:lncRNA from 1 species